UCUAAUCACCAUUCCUCGCGAUCACAACGAUGCUCUUCCUGGCAACGAAUUCAAAAUCGCAUGGUCUUCAUCCCGUGCAUCCGCGUCGCUUCAGUCAUUGCGCACAGUCACUGUGCUGGAUUCGACGGUGGUUGACAUCCUCAAGCGGCUACAAGACAUUCUCGCCGCCUCGGCCAUAACGGUGACCGGGGAGGCGGCUCAAGAUUGUUCCUUUCUCGUGAAUUUGGCGUGGCGGCAGGAAGCCAAAUUCCAGGAAUUUUAUUCCUUGGAGGCAUCCAUUAAAC